UCCUGGUUGGCUCAAUGGUAAAGAAUCUGCCUGUAAUGCAGUAGACACAAGGGACUUGGGUUCAAUCCCUGGGUCAGGAA
rnacentral:tRNA from 1 species